UACAACACUAUAACAUCACCAGAUACACUUGUCUACCCUCAUCAGCUUAAGGUUCUCUUGCUUCAGACCUGAAAACUUUGAAUCAGAAUAUUAUGUAACAGGCAUUCUCUUCCCAAAUGUGCCUUGUCUCUCUGGAUCUGGAGGAGAACGGUUUAAAUCCUUCUUCACAUUUUCAGAAGUACUUUAUCAGCUGUUGUUAAUGGAGGAAAACUACCUGUCAUCAGAUUUAUGCAGAGUUGAGAGUGAGUGAAUGCUGCCAUCACUGAAGUUGCCAUCUAUUUCACAUUGAUUGAGUUUCCUGAGCUUGAGGGAUUUUUGCAGGGCUGGAUUUUUAUGGUUGAUAUGUUUUUGGUCAUUUGUCAUAAAAUCAUUCCAACUGAGCUGUUUACCAGUCUGAAUACUUAAUUACUGCAGUAGCAAGGAAUGGCAUAAGCUUUAGUUUUUUACUGAAUAUCAUACAAGAAUGUAGUUGAUACUUGUCUCUUCUUCCUGUGAGGAUUUUACCUGUAAGCAUCUAUUUAAUUU
rnacentral:lncRNA from 1 species